GACAGAGGGUGCAAACGUUGUUCGGAAUUACUGGGCGUAAAGCGCGUGUAGGCUGCUCGAAAAGUCGGAUGUGAAAGCCCUGGGCUCAACCUAGGAAGUGCACCCGAAACUCUCGAGCUUGAGUACUGGAGAGGAAGGCGGAAUUCUUGGUGUAGAGGUGAAAUUCGUAGAUAUCAAGAGGAACACCGGUGGCGAAGGCGGCCUUCUGGACAGUCACUGACGCUGAGACGCGAAAGCGUGGGGAGCAAACAGG
rnacentral:rRNA from 1 species